UACGGAGGGUGCAAGCGUUAUCCGGAUUCACUGGGUUUAAAGGGUGCGUAGGCGGGACAGAAAGUCAGUGGUGAAAUCUCCGAGCUUAACUCGGAAACUGCCAUUGAUACUAUUUGUCUUGAAUACUGUUGAGGUUAGCGGAAUAUGUCAUGUAGCGGUGAAAUGCUUAGAUAUGACAUAGAACACCAAUUGCGAAGGCAGCUGGCUAAACAGAUAUUGACGCUGAGGCACGAAAGCGUGGGGAUCAAAC
rnacentral:rRNA from 1 species